CGUGAGUAACCUGCCUUGGAGUGGGGAAUAACAGCUGGAAACAGCUGCUAAUACCGCAUAAUAUAUCUGUGUCGCAUGGCACUGGAUAUCAAAGAUUUAUCGCUUUGAGAUGGACUCGCGUCUGAUUAGCUGGUUGGCGGGGUAACGGCCCACCAAGGCGACGAUCAGUAGCCGGACUGAGAGGUUGGCCGGCCACAUUGGGACUGAGACACGGCCCAGACUCCUACGGAAGGCAGCAG
rnacentral:rRNA from 1 species